rnacentral:rRNA from 1 species
GGCCUACGGGGCGCAGCAGUGAGGAAUAUUGGUCAAUGGGCGCAAGCCUGAACCAGCCAAGUCGCGUGAGGGAUGACGGUCCUAUGGAUUGUAAACCUCUUUUGUCGGGGAGCAAGGCCCGCCACGUGUGGCGGGAAGGAGAGUACCCGAAGAAAAAGCAUCGGCUAACUCCGGGCCAGCAGCCGCGGUAAUACGGAGGAUCCGGGCAUUAUCCGGAGAGACUGGGGGGAAAGAGGUGCG